rnacentral:rRNA from 1 species
AGUGAACGCUGGCGGUAGGCCUAACACAUGCAAGUCGAACGGCAGCACAGUAAGAGCUUGCUCUUACGGGUGGCGAGUGGCGGACGGGUGAGGAAUACAUCGGAAUCUACUUUUUCGUGGGGGAUAACGUAGGGAAACUUACGCUAAUACCGCAUACGACCUACGGGUGAAAGCAGGGGAUCUUCGGACCUUGCGCGAUUGAAUGAGCCGAUGUCGGAUUAGCUAGUUGGCGGGGUAAAGGCCCACCAAGGCGACGAUCCGUAGCUGGUCUGAGAGGAUGAUCAGCCACACUGGAACUGAGACACGGUCCAGACUCCUACGGGAGGCAGCAGUGGGGAAUAUUGGACAAUGGGCGCAAACCUGAUCCAGCCAUACCGCGUGGGUGAAGAAGGCCUUCGGGUUGUAAAGCCCUUUUGUUGGGAAAGAAAAGCAGCAGGUUAAUACCCCGCUGUUCUGACGGUACCCAAAGAAUAAGCACCGGCUAACUUCGU